UUACCCAAACUGUCAUCUUCUUUGGAAGUUUAAAGUUUCCCCAAGCUCUUUUUAUUUUUUCUCAGACCCCUGACACUCUUCAUGUUCUCCCUAAGUAGAUUGUCCCCUUUAUGUGGUGAGCAUUUCUUGGAUUUUAUUUUAGGGACCAAGUCUUUUUUUCAUCUGGGAUGGUUGAAUGAAUAGCUUUGUGAGAAAGAAUGUGAGAUUGUGUCUGGCAGGAUUUUGUGGAAGGCCUGACUGGCCCAGCUGUUGCAUGUGCUCCUGGACCUGUGACACUCAUACUACUGGGAGUGAUUUGAACAGGAUGUGGGCCUAACAUUAAAUGUCAUUGAAACAAAAGUAAGAUGACUCUAUUUUCAGUUUUUUUUUUUAAAUUCUGAUUAUAUUAAAGAGAAAGUCUCAAUUUGGUACUAGUCUGAAGUACCUCCCUAAUAGCAGCUAGUUUCCUAUUGUAACAAAGAGAACAGUAGGCAGGCCCAGAUUUUUCUGUCAGCAACGAUGUUAGUAGAAUUUAAUAAAUUAUUGUAGUGCUAUAAAGUUCGCUUUAAAAUAUGUUUAUUUAACUAAAUCAUAGUAAGGUGAUUUAAGAAAACUAUUAAAUAAUAGGAUAGGUAAUACUGGGACAUAGCAAAAAUGGUGGUGCUACAAUGGGAAUGACCGAAGUUUGA